AGAGCGAACGCUGGCGGCAGGCCUAACACAUGCAAGUCGAGCGCCCGUAGCAAUACGGGAGCGGCAGACGGGAUAGUAACACGUGGGAACGCGCCCUUCGGUUCGGAAUAACUCAGGGAAACUUGAGCUAAUACCGGAUACGCCCUUACGGGGAAAGAUUUAUUGCCGAAGGAACGGCCCGCGUCCGAUUAGCUAGUUGGUGAGGUAAUGGCUCACCAAGGCUACGAUCGGUAGCUGGUCUGAGAGGAUGACCAGCAUCACUGGGACUGAGACACGGCCCAGACUCCUACGGGAGGCAGCAGUGGGGAAUAUGGACAAUGGGCGCAAGCCUGAUCCAGCCAUGCCGCGUGGAUGAUGAAGGCCUUAGGGUGUAAAGUCCGUUUUAACGGGGAAGAUAAUGACGGUACCGUAGAAUAAGCCCCGGCUAACUUCGUGCCAGCAGCCGC
rnacentral:rRNA from 1 species